rnacentral:rRNA from 3 species
AACGAACGCUGGCGGCAGGCCUAACACAUGCAAGUCGAGCGCGCCUUCGGGUGAGCGGCGGACGGGUUAGUAACGCGUGGGAACGUACCCUUCUCUACGGAAUAGCCUUUGGAAACGAAGAGUAAUACCGUAUACGCCCUUUGGGGGAAAGAUUUAUCGGAGAAGGAUCGGCCCGCGUUAGAUUAGAUAGUUGGUGGGGUAACGGCCUACCAAGUCUACGAUCUAUAGCUGGUUUUAGAGGAUGAUCAGCAACACUGGGACUGAGACACGGCCCAGACUCCUACGGGAGGCAGCAGUGGGGAAUCUUAGACAAUGGGCGCAAGCCUGAUCUAGCCAUGCCGCGUGAGUGAUGAAGGCCUUAGGGUCGUAAAGCUCUUUCGCCUGUGAUGAUAAUGACAGUAGCAGGUAAAGAAACCCCGGCUAACUCCGUGCCAGCAGCCGCGGUAAUACGGAGGGGGUUAGCGUUGUUCGGAAUUACUGGGCGUAAAGCGCACGUAGGCGGAUUGGAAAGUUGGGGGUGAAAUCCCGGGGCUCAACCCCGGAACUGCCUCCAAAACUAUCAGUCUAGAGUUCGAGAGAGGUGAGUGGAAUUCCAAGUGUAGAGGUGAAAUUCGUAGAUAUUUGGAGGAACACCAGUGGCGAAGGCGGCUCACUGGCUCGAUACUGACGCUGA